rnacentral:rRNA from 1 species
UUGGAGGGCAAGUCUGGUGCCAGCAGCCGCGGUAAUUCCAGCUCCAAUAGCGUAUAUUAAAGUUGUUGCAGUUAAAAAGCUCGUAGUUGAAUUUCGGGAUCAAUGUUUCGGUCAUGCCGUUGGUAUGUACUGAUAUUAUUGAUUUCUCACCUUCUAAAGAACCGUAAUGCCAUUAAUUUGGUGUCACGGGGAAUUAGGACAGUUACCUUGAAAAGAUUAGAGUGUUUAAAGCAGGCUCACGCUUGAAUACAUCAGCAUGGAAUAAUGAAAUAGGACAUCCGAUUCUAUUUUGUUGGUUUCUAGGAUCGAUGUAAUGAUUAAUAGGGAUAGUCGGGGGCAUUAGUAUUCAAUUGUCAGAGGUGGAAUUCUUGGAUUUAUUGAAGACUAACUACUGCGAAAGCAUUUGCCAAGGAUGUUUUCAUUAAUCAAGAACGAAAGUUAGGGUAUCGAAGACGAUCAGAUACCGUCGUAGUCUUAACCAUAAACUAUGCCGACUAGGGAUCGGAUGAUGUUAAUUUUUUAAUGACUCAUUCGGCGCCUUACGGGAAACCAAAGUGUUUGGGUUC